UUCAGUGUCUUCUGAGAAACAACCAGCCUGUAAGGUUACAAGUGACCAGAAAGAUUCUAUUUUGAAUAUCGCCACAGAAAUAAAGGAUGGACAAAAAUCUGGGACAGUGUCUUCUGAGAAACAACC